AUCCCGAGUAGCAUGGGACACGUGGAAUCCCGUGUGAAUCAGCGAGGACCACCUCGUAAGGCUAAAUACUCCUGGGUGACCGAUAGCGAAAUAGUACCGCGAGGGAAAGGUGAAAAGAACCCCCGUAGGGGAGUGAAACAGAACAUGAAACCGUAAGCUGACAAGCAGUGGGAGGGCUUAAGUCUGACCGCGUGCCUGUUGAAGAAUGAGCCAGCGACUUAGAGGAAGUGGCUAAGGUUAAGGAGUUUGAUCCGGAGCCAACGCGAAAGCGAGUCUGAAUAGGGCGAUAUCGUCAUUUCCUCUGGACCCGAACCCGGGUGAUCUUAUCAUGACCAGGAUGAAGCUUGGGUAACACUAAGUGGAGGUCCGAACCGACCGAUGUUGAAAAAUCGGCGGAUGAGUUGUGAUAAGCGGUGAAAUACCAAUCGAACCCGGAGCUAGCUGGAUCUCCCCGAAAUGCGUUGAGGCGCAGCGGCAACGACGAGCUAUCAUGGGGUAAAGCGACUGUUUCGAUGCGGGCUGCGAAAGCGGUACCAAGUCGUGGCAAACUCAGAAUACAUGGUAAUGCCUACCGUUAGCCAGUGAGAAUAUUUUGGAAAGCUAAAUAUUCAAGAGGGAAACAGCCCAGAUCACCAGCUAAGGUCCCUAAAUGGUCACUAAGUGGGAAAGGAUGUGAGAAUGCUGAAACAACCAGGAGGUUUGCUUAGAAGCAGCCACCCUUGAAAGAGUGCGUAAUAGCUCACUGGUAAAGCGUUCUUGCGCCGACAAUGGCCGGGACUAAGUGACCUGCCGAAGCUGUGAGAUACACAUUAAAAAAUAUGUAUCGGUAGGGGAGCGUUCCGUUAUUGGGUGAAGUUUUCAUGGAAAUGAGAAUGGACAAAACGGAAGUGAGAAUGUUGGCUUGAGUAACGAAAACAUUGGUUAGAAUCCAAUGCCCCGAAAACCGUUGGGUUCCUCCACUAGGUUCGUCCAUGGGGGGUUAGUCAGGACCUAAGACUAGGCCGAUAGGCGUCGUCGAUGACAAGCAGGUUAAUAUUCCUGUACUGUUUCUAUUGGGAACCAAGGGACGAAGGAGACUAAACUAGAACUGAUAUUGGCUUAAGUGGAAGCGCUAAGGUGUUGAGAGUUAGAAUAAAAACUAUACUUGAGCUGAGUCGUGAUCCCUGUUCUCAUGAAAGUGAGUUUAGCUAGUGAUGUCAUACUUCCAAGAAAAGCUUGUACACUUAUAUAACAAUAGAAACACCUGUACCUAAAACCGACACAGGUAGGUUGGUAGAGAAUACCAAGGGGCGCGAGCGAACUCUCUCUAAGGAACUCGGCAAACUGGCCCCGUAACUUCGGAAGAAGGGGUGCCCUCUGCAAGGAGGGCCACAGUAAAAAGGCUCUGGCAACUGUUUAUCAAAAACACAGGUCUCCGCAACGUCGAAAGACAAUAUAUGGGGGCUGACGCCUGCCCAGUGCCGGAAGGUUAAGGAAGUUGGUUAUUAAUUUAUUAAGAAGCUAACGACCGAAGCCCCGGUGAACGGCGGCUGUAACUAUAACGGUCCUAAGGUAGCGAAAUUCUUUGUCGAGUAAGUUUCGACCUGCACGAAAGGCGUAAUGAUCAGAGCGCUGUCUCGGAGAGAGACUCGGUGAAAUAGACUUGUCCCGUGAAGAUGCGGACUACCUGCACUUGGACAGAAAGACCCUAUGAAGCUUGACUGUAUCCUGGAAUUGGGUUCGGGCUUUUCUUGCGCAGCCUAGGUGGGAGGCUAUGAAGGUUCCCUUCCGGGGGAACUUGAGCCAUCAUUGAGAGACCACUCUGGAAGAGCUAGAAUCCUAAUGGUGAUCUUUGAAUCAAGACACUUGACAGUUUCAGGUGGGCAGUUUAUCUGGGGCGGAUGCCUCCUAAAAUGUAACGGAGGUGUGCAAAGGUUCCCUCAGCCUGGACGGAAAUCAGGCAUUGAGUGUAAAGGCAAAAGGGAGCUUGACUGCAAGACCUACAAGUCGAGCAGGGGCGAAAGCCGGCCUUAGUGAUCCGACGGUGCCGUGUGGAAGGGCCGUCGCUCAACGGAUAAAAGUUACUCUAGGGAUAACAGGCUGAUCUUCCCCAAGAGUUCACAUCGACGGGAAGGUUUGGCACCUCGACAUUUGGGGUCUUAUUUGAGUAAUUAAAUAAUGAACACUUGGCUAUAUGCUGGAACGUCUGAGUAUCUUUCCCACUAGAAUAAGCUAGUAGUGAGACAGUUCGGUCCAUAUCCGGUGUAGGCGUUAGAGUAUUGAGAGGAGCGUAUCAUAGUACGAGAGGAUUUGGUACGGAGAACCAAUAGUGUAUUUGUUGUUUCGCCAGAAGCAAACGCAAAGUAGCCAUGUUCUAAGGUAUAAGCCCUGAAAGCAUCUAAGGGCGAAGGCCACCUCAAGAUGAGUACUCUCCAAUAGGUCGCGAGUAGACUAUUCGUUAGAUAGGACUUAGGUGUAAAACUAGUAAUAGUUGUGCCGAGAGUUACUAAAGACCGAUUGAUUUUGAU
rnacentral:rRNA from 1 species